GUCUGGUGGAAGGUAGGGAGUUAUCUCACUGGAUUUUUCACAGUUACAGAUUGAACUCCUUGUUCUAAUCUUUCCCCCUUCUCAUUGCUGCACUUAACUAGUCUUUU
ensembl:misc_RNA Y_RNA Y RNA